ACCUGGGUGAUGUUAAUGGUUAACAUGCUCAGUUACUAACUGAAAGGUUGGUGGUUAGAAUCCACUCAGAGGCA
rnacentral:tRNA from 1 species